rnacentral:tRNA from 1 species
GCUCCGGUAGUAUAGUCCGGUCAAGUAUUACGGCCUCUCACGCCGUGGGCCCGGGUUCGAAUCCCGGCCGGAGCACCA